rnacentral:misc_RNA from 1 species
GUAACAAGGUCUCCGUUGGUGAACCAGCGGAGGGAUCAUUACCGAGUUUACAACUCCCAAACCCCUGUGAACAUACCAAUUGUUGCCUCGGCGGAUCAGCCCGCUCCCGGUAAAACGGGACGGCCCGCCAGAGGACCCCUAAACUCUGUUUCUAUAUGUAACUUCUGAGUAAAACCAUAAAUAAAUCAAAACUUUCAACAACGGAUCUCUUGGUUCUGGCAUCGAUGAAGAACGCAGCAAAAUGCGAUAAGUAAUGUGAAUUGCAGAAUUCAGUGAAUCAUCGAAUCUUUGAACGCACAUUGCGCCCGCCAGUAUUCUGGCGGGCAUGCCUGUUCGAGCGUCAUUUCAACCCUCAAGCCCAGCUUGGUGUUGGGACUCGCGAGUCAAAUCGCGUUCCCCAAAUUGAUUGGCGGUCACGUCGAGCUUCCAUAGCGUAGUAGUAAAACCCUCGUUACUGGUAAUCGUCGCGGCCACGCCGUUAAACCCCAACUUCUGAAUGUUGACCUCGGAUCAGGUAGGAAUACCCGCUGAACCUAAGCAUAUC